UACGGAGGGUGCAAGCGUUGCUCGGAAUUAUUGGGCGUAAAGGGUAGGUAGGUGGUCUUAUUUGUCUGAGGUGAAAGCCUUGAGCUUAACUCAAGAAGUGCCUCAGAAACGGUGAGACUGGAGUCCUGGAGAGGGUCGUGGAAUUCCCGGUGUAGCAGUGAAAUGCGUAGAGAUCGGGAGGAACACCAGAGGCGAAAGCGGCGACCUGGACAGGUACUGACACUCAACUACGAAAGCGUGGGGAGCAAACAGG
rnacentral:rRNA from 1 species